rnacentral:lncRNA from 7 species
GGAUCCAUCACUGGCCUACCAAGCCAUUGUAAUUUCCAUGAAAUGCCAUGUUCAGUGAAAAAUGCCAUAGUGCAAAUCUCAAGGGGGUGGUGCAAGGGGUUGGAUAUAUUAGCAAGACAUGAGGGAAUAGGAUGCAUGCUUUAAGUAUGAAGACAAAAAGUGGAACUGCAGAAAGAUUGCAUUGGAAGGGAUCUCAGGAGGCUGUAUAAUCUUAUAGUGCAAGAUGGAAUCAAAUCACAGGUAGAUGCUGGCUGAAAUUAUCCUGAAAGAUCUCUAAUGAUAGUAACUUCACACCCUCAAUAAGCAAUCUGUUUGAGGGCUCCAAUAAUGUAGUUUUUUUAGGCUGGCUUUUUAGUUCUAAUCAUAAAUACAGUAUGAUACUGCAGGAGGAAAACUGGUGGAUUUUAGAGGAGAAACAUUCAUGCAAAACACUACAAUUUUUUCCUGGCAAGCAGAAACGUGGUUUCUCUCCAUUUAUUGCUAUCAUGAACCAUCCAGCUAGGAUUUACCCAUACCUUAGUAUGUGUGUGUAUGUGUGUGAAUGCACGUAUGUAUAUGUAAAUGUAAAGACUGUAAUAGGACUGUGUCCUUCAGGGAAAAAAAAAAGCUACUACUAAAUAUUGCUAGAGAUUUGAUAUUCCUGAAGAUUGAGGGUCAGGAAUGUGGAGAUUCUGUUUGGGGCAAUUCUCUUAGCAAAAGUUUGAACUUGUUUGUAUAUCUCUUUCUUCAGCUUUAGAGAUGAUAUAAUUCUUAGAAGUGCUGUGGGGCAUAAAGGAUCUGACAUUUACAAAAUGUUUGUGCUUCUGUCUCACUCUCCAUCUCAGUUUCUCAAUUAUUUUGCUUUGCUUAUACCUGGCUGGUUUUACUGUGUUCAGCAAAAGCAAUGGAAUUGUAUUUAAUGUUAAAUACUUGUGUUAAACUGCAUAUAAAAAUGUUUCAUGUAGAACAUACAUUGCAGAUGUGUGCUAAUGGUAAUUUUUCCUGUUAUGUGCUAUGUAGUGACCAUAUUUGGAGACUGUAUUAUAUUACU